CCUGCAUACAUAAUUUGCUGUGGAUAAGUUCCCAAGUUCCUUUCCUUUCUCUCAAGGCUAAGAGGCCUAGACAUCACCACAAACAAGUCACCAAAGAAGGAAGAGUGUCACAGAAUCCCGGUGAUCUUGUUUGUGGUGAUGUCUAGACCUUCCUAGACUUGUCUUUUGUCGGAGUUCACUGUCUCCGUGUUGCGGUGGCAGCCGGAGGGAUAUUUUCAAACUAAGCAUGUGGAUCUCGCUUCCUAGUUAUGCUCUAGAAGACUUCAUCAAUGAACACAAAGAGGCAGAGUCAAGAUCCAAAGAAGCUCAGGGUGAAGCAGAGCAACAUGUCCUUUAGCUAUUAACAAUAUCAAGGCUAUAAUCCUCCUUGAAUAAUUUUGGAGUCCACCCUAGUGUGGAUGAGUAUCAAAAGUUGAUACAAUCUCUCUGCUUGAAGGCUUAGGAUAAGGAAAUUGCAGAGAAGCUACAUGAGGAAAUGAAAGAGAGAAUGGUUUGCAUCUCAAGGGCAUCACACGGGGUUUAAUUAGAAAGAGAUGGUGGAAGAGGUUAUGGAGGUUGAGAUUACUGCAUCGACAUAAACAUUGUUCUUUCUUUGAGGUGGUGUGUGAUGUGAGGGGAUUGGUAGUUGUAAUUCUUUUCCGAUUUAGCAGACCAUUUUGUUAGGAAAUUGCAAUCUUGAUGCAAAAAUAAUUAAGAGGAGAAAAUUUGAGAAGUGAUCGUUGAAGUGUUUGAUUCCCUUGAUACUCA